rnacentral:rRNA from 1 species
UACGUAGGCAGCGAGCGUUGUUCGGAGUUACUGGGCGUAAAGGGUGUGUAGGCGGUUCUUUAAGUUUGGUGUGAAAUCUCCCGGCUCAACCGGGAGGGUGCGCCGAAAACUGGGGGACUAGAGUGCGGGAUGGGAGAGUAGAAUUCCUGGUGUAGCGGUGAAAUGCGUAGAUAUCAGGAGGAAUACCGGUGGUGUAGACGGCUCACUGGACCAUAACUGACGCUGAGACACGAAAGCGUGGGUAGCAAACAGG